rnacentral:rRNA from 1 species
CACCGGGAGCGACAGCAGGGUGAAGGCCAGAUUGAAGGUCUUGCCAGACGAGCUGAGAGGAGGUGCAUGGCCGUCGCCAGUUCGUGCCGUGAGGUGUCCUGUUAAGUCAGGCAACGAUCGAGACCCGCAUCCUCUGUUGCAACCAGUCUUGUGCUGGGCACACUGAGGAGACCGCCGCUGAUAAAGCGGAGGAAGGAGCGGGCCACGGCAGGUCAGUAUGCCCCGAAUCUCCCGGGCCACACGCGAGCUGCAAUGGCAGGUACAAUGGGUUCCGACCCCGAAAGGGGAAGGUAAUCCCGAAAGCCUGCCGUAGUUGGGAUCGAGGGUUGACACUCACCCUCGUGAACAUGGAAUCCCUAGUAA